GAUGAACGCUGGCGGCGUGCUUAACACAUGCAAGUCGAACGGAAAGGCCCGGCUUUUGUUGGUUUCUCGAUUGGCGAACGGGGGAGUAACACGUGAGUAACCUGCCCUUGACUUUGGGAUAUCUUCAGGAAACUGGGGCUAAUACCGGAUAUGAUCUCCUGCUGCAUGUGGGUGGUUGGAAAGUUUCGGCUGUGGUGGCUGGUCUCGCUGCUUAUCAGCUAGUUUGUGUGGUAGUGGCGUUCCAAGGGUUUGACGGGUAGCCUGCCUGAGAGGGUGACCGGCCACAUGGGGACUGAGAUAGGGACCAGAAUCGUACCGGCCGCAGCAGUGGAGAGUAUUGCACAAUGGGCGGACGCCUGUGGCAGAAACGCCGCGUGCGGGAUGCUGGGCUACGGGUUGUAAACAGAUUUCGACUGUGACGAACAGUGAGUGACGGUAAUGGGUCAAGAAGCAACGGCUAACUACGUG
rnacentral:rRNA from 1 species